UUUUUCUUUAAUUUCAAGGACCAAUUUAUAUAAAAUCCAGCAAUAUACAAUUUAAAAAUUAUUCUAAACUACAAUUCAAGACACACUCUAUGGCGUUUUUGUUUUUGAUAAUGGAAAACUGUAUUUGUUCAAGAUUGCUCUAUCAGAUAAUUUUGUUUGGGUUCACAAGUGAAAAUACUGUGAAAAUAGUUCAUUUCCGUCACACUGAAGGACAAGUUGAGCUCAUUUGUUUAUUUAUUUAUUUAUUGAAAAUUUUGAGUUAUAAUUCACAUACCAUACAAUUCACCCAUUUAAAAUUAUAUAACUCAAUGGUUUUUGGUAGAUUCACAGUGUUAUGUAACCAUCACUACAAUAAUUUCAGGACAUUUUCAUCAACCCGGAAAGAAACCCUGUCCCCAUUUGCAGUCCCUCCCCAUCCCCUAGCUCCUAAUGUUCCAGCUUUAGGCAUCCUCUUUUUUUUUUUUUUAAGAUUUUAUUUAUUUAUUUGACAGAGAUAGAGACAGCCAGCGAGAGAGGGAACACAAGCAGGGGGAGCGGGAGAGGAAGAAGCAGGCUCAUAGCGGAAGAGCCUGAUGUGGGGCUCGAUCCCAGAACGCCGGGAUCACGCCCUGAGCCGAAGGCAGGCGCUUAACCGCUGUGCCACCCAGGCGCCCCAGCUUUAGGCAUCCUCUGAUCUGCUUUCUCUCUCUGUAGAUUUGCCUAUUUUAUUUCACAUAAAUGUCCAUACGAUAUAUGACCCUUUGUGAUUGAUUUCUUUCACUUAGCAUAACAUUUUGAAGGUUCAUCAUAUUGUAGUAUGUAUCUGUACUUUCUUUCUUUUUACGGCCAAAUACUCUAUUGUAUGGCUAUUCCACACUUUGUUUAUCUAUUCAUCUGUUGAUGGAGAUUUAGGUUGUUUCCAAUUUGGGGCUAUUACGAACAAUACUACUAGAGACACUUGUGGACUGGUUUUUGUGUUGACCAGCCCCUCAACUUUUUAACCCCACAAGAAAGUAAAAAGAGAAGAAUGCUUAUCAUGAAACUAUACAGAAUCUGUUUCGCAGUCAUUUCAGACUUUAGACUCAACAAUUUCCAUACCCAGCAUCACAAGGUUCAUCAUGACAGGGAGACUGGCAUCAUGACACUAUCAUAGAAGCAGAGGAGGUUAGAUGUUUUCUAAGAUCCCUUCUUACAUGAAGUCAACAAGUACUACUUUCUGUUACUUCUCCAUGCAUAGACAAGAAUGACAGGUGGUAGACACCCCUAGUCCCGACCGAGUUAUCAAGAAACAUUACUGAGGCCCUUGCCAGCAGCAAGAACGGCCAUGCCCAUGUAACUGCCCUGGAGACAGAAGUCAUACACCGAGUAGGAGCUGCUAAGCUACUCUGAGUCCCCCAUUCUAGGCUGAAGCACUUGAGACCCUCACUACUUCCCGACUGGGUUUUGCCUACAACUUUAGUGCUGUUACGCCUUCAACCUCUGCCUCUCUUUCUGGUUAUUCCUUCCACU
rnacentral:lncRNA from 1 species